UAAAAGUUUAAUAAACCCCUUAAUGAAUAAUAAAUCACGUCUUGGUUUUUUAUAGUUUUAACUUUCAGUAGUUGAUGAACAAAAGCCUGGCAAUGAUGAUGAGUAAGGGAAGCAACCACUAGAAAUUCAUUACAUUUCCUGAGCAUUGAAAAGAUAAAGGUUUGAACUUUGAACAGGUUUUGCUGGAUUUCCAAACUCACAAAUGGUCCGCAUUCCCUAUCAAAGUAUAUGCAGAAAGAAUCCAUGAUCACUGUAUAUAUGGUUCUACUGGAGUUUCAUUCCAUGUUCAGGGAAUUUCGAAACAUAAAGGGAAACCUGUUCAUUCACACUGUUCUAACUUCUAUCGUGAUGUAAGAAUGAGACCACCAUGACUGCUUCAGUCGUAGAGGCCAUCUUCCAGCCAUAUGUCAACUAAAAAGUCCACCAUCUCCUGCAUAUAGAAGCAACAGAUGGAUUAAUACACAGUCUCUGAGUAGAGGUAUGACAUGGCGAUGAGAUUAUGUUCUGAAGGAGCUUACAGCUAGAGGUAUUGGCUGCUGGAAAGGUUCAUGGGAAGAGAGCAAAUCNNNN
rnacentral:lncRNA from 1 species